rnacentral:rRNA from 1 species
UACAGAGGUGGCAAGCGUUGUUCGGAAUUACUGGGCGUAAAGGGCGCGUAGGCGGCCUUCUAAGUCAGACGUGAAAUCCCCAGGCUUAACUUGGGAACUGCGUCUGAUACUGGGAGGCUUGAGUGCGGGAGAGGGAUGUGGAAUUCCAGGUGUAGCGGUGAAAUGCGUAGAUAUUGGGAGGAACACCAGUGGCGAAGGCGGCUCACUGGACCGGAACUGACGCUGAGGCGCGAAAGCGUGGGGAGCAAACAGG